ensembl:lncRNA
CAUCUUUUCACUUUGUAUAAAUUUCAGUAAUACUUUUAAGAACACCUAGAGACUCUACCUAUCCACCAUGCACAAAGUUGGCUGUAAGGUAGGACUGGCAAAGGUUCCCAAAUUGCCCAAUGGUUUCUUAAAGGUGAUUCUUGCAAGGCUCUUGGGGAAAGUUUACUGGUACCUAUGGAUAAUCACAAAGGUGCUUCACUUCAUGUGGAUGUUUCUGCUCCAUCAGAGAAGAUGCAUUAAACUACCUCCUUAUCUGACAGCACUUAAUCCAUGCACUGGGUCUGCCAGGUCUAAGAAGUUCUUCAUUCUUAUGGGAAUCUGCAUUAACAAAUAGCCACUGAAUACUCUCCUGGAGAUGUAAGCAACCUGUCAAGAUAGGAAGAAGUUAAUAAACAAAGUAUACAGCUGGAAAUCAAAUUCACAUCCCUAUAAUGGCUCUUGCACACUGAGAACCCCUCCUUUGAACAUUGCUUCCCUGAUGUGAUAGCGUUAAAUUUUGCCUACGGUGAGAUAACCUGGAGGAAAUUGUUCAGAAUUGUUUGGAGUUUGCUUGAUGCUGUUCUUCUUCUUUCUCUCAUAUUUUUUCAUCUUCUUUGUUUACUCUUUAGGAAAAAUUUGUGUGGCUGUGAAGAUGAUUGAAGCAUCAUUUUCUCAGUUUUUCCCCGGAUUUCUUCUUUGCACUCUAUGCCAUCCUUUCUUCCUGCGACUCUUCCUUUUGUGACAAAAAGCACUGCUAAUUGCAUAGAUUAGCUUCAAAUCCAGGAUCAAAGGUUUAACGCUUCGAUUUUCUGCUUCUUAGGCAUUUUAUUUUUUUUCUCUCAUAUGGGAAAUUUGCAAAACUGUUCACUACAGAAUUGAGUUGGUUUUCCUCUGAAAGUUGAGGGAAAAGGCUAAGCGUGGAAGGGGUAUGUUCUUACUUGACCUUAUCUGUUCUUUUGGCAGGUAUAUACUUUGCAUUAUGUCAUUAAAAGGCAAAGUGAUGGUUUUCGAGUAUUUUUGCAGAGCCAUGCUGCAGAGAGAGGAAAUGCUGCCACUGUGUCAUUUUUACUUUUCCUGAGAGUGAUAAAACAGAACCAACUCUUGGCAUAUAGACUGUUUAUACACUGUUUGCUGAGCUUGGUGAAAAGACGUUAUGUGUUCCUUGUCUAUCAAAAAUUUGUACAGGCAUGGAAAGUGGAUAGGCAGCAUUUUGAAAAGCUCCUUAGGGCUUUUUAGAAAGAUUUUUUAUACUUCAACUGGCAUGAGAGGCUUCCAUUUCAAACGUCAACAAAGGCUGGCAUUUGUGAGCCUGCCUUGCUGCUGAGGGCUGCAAGGAGUCAGAGUUCCCUGUGCAACUCUGAAUCAAGUUCAGCCUUGUGUUCUCAUCUGUAAUCAGAUAAAACAAACAAACAAGAAAGGAUGGGUGGGGAAAGCAUUAAUAUUUUAAACCUGGCUUUACCUGUCUGUUGCCUUUGAAAAUAAAAUUGUGUGUUUGAAUCAGUUUUGGCAGUCAAAUUUUGUGAAAUCUGUUGCAUGCAAUUUGAACAGCCACUAUACCUUCACAACACCCCAGGUGUAGAGAGUUACGCUGACAGUCAACCUAUGAAUUCAAAACUCUGUACAUAAAAGUAGGUAUUGCUAAUGCUGUGCUUAAAACUAUUCCACCAAAGAAAAGAACUUAAUAACAUGGGGGUGGUGAAGGUGAAGCUAUAUGAAAGCAUAGCUUUCCACAGCACAGUGUUGGAGUUAUUUUUCUUACGUACAACCACCACAGAGCUUUCCUUUCCCUUAGCAGCAGCCAAUCAAAAAAACGCAAAAGUGGCAGAUGACUAAAGCAUGCUUAAUGACAAACAACAUACAGUUUUCUCAGUGUCUGCAUUAGCUAAUGAAAAUAGAAGCUGAAAGAAUCAGGAGCAGAUCCAUUACAUGGUUUGCUUUUGUGUAAAUUGACUUUAUUUAUGUUUAAGCUUACAGAUAAACAGUUUGUGAUUCCAGAAAUUGCCUGUUAUAUACAGUCCGUUGAUGUGAUAUAUUUUGUUUCUUGAAGGCUUCUGAAGAUAAAAUAAUAAUAAUAAUAAUUACUCUUUCUAUAAUGACAACAUUUUAUCACCACAGAUAAUGAGAGUGCAGAAUUAUGGUUUACUCACCCACACACUGAAGAAAAUUGUGUCAUUCCUACAUCCAUUGCAAGGGAUAGAUUUAUUUUCUUUGUCCUUUCUUUUUUGUUCUUGCUUUUUGGAAACUUGAAUGUCCUCUUUCCCUGGUUUUCUCGCUUGCUCAUCUACAACCUCUAAUGCAAAUUUAUACUAAAUAUUGCUUGACCACACUCCCAAAUCACAAGAAUUAAUUCUUACCAUUAUUAUUUCUGCUGUCACAAAGAUUUAAAAACAUAAAUAGCUUUUUCUUUUUUUCUUCUUUUUUUUUUUUUAUUUUUGAGGCAAGAAGAAGAAAGGGUAUUGAACAAACACAUGACACUAAAGGAAUAAAAUAUGAACUGAACUUCCUCUAGAUUUCAAGCUAAUUAUUUUUCCCAGUUUGGUUACACACAACUGAGAAACAUUUAAAGGGAUGCAAAUUAGAAGAUCGUUAAUACGCAACCUAUGGUUUCAUCUGCCAGUCUUCAAGCAGAAGACCACGCUUCCCCCUCCAACACCAUUUUCAAGUUUUAUAGCUUAGUGUAACCAUUUUAAUUGUUCUUUUUCUGCAAGGCAUGAAGAUAAACCAUGCAUGAAUCAAUACAUGAAUGAAUCAGCCUCUGGUCUAGCUCACUGAUGUACUCAUCAUUUAUAUCCUUGCAUAAUUUACAGAAAUUGAAAGUGUAGUGAGGCUUUGCAUUCAGCUGAAUGUGGUUUGUUUACACAGUCCAAUAGAGUUUCACGUUCCAGAAAAGCUGAUUCUGCAGGGAUUGCUCAAGCAGGAUAAAAACAUCUAAAGCUUUGUGCUAAAAUAGAUGCAGUUAAGUGCCUAGGUGUCCCAUCACUUUUAGCCAAAUCUUAAUGAGAACACUGACAUCUUGGCUUUGUUGUGCAUGGUUUCACUUAAUUCAGAGGUAGCUGGGGCUCCCUGCACAAAAUUCAGUAGGCUGGAGUAUUAGCCUUUGGCUGAAAGAAAGACUAAGAUUCAUCUCAGUGAACUGCAGCUGCUUGAAAGUUAGGCAUCUAAACUAAUUUACUUGUCCAGGUUCCUGCAAUGACUGAGACACCUCCCCCACCUGGCUGUUCCUCUCAUAACCAGGAUUCACCUCCAGAGAUUACCACCUCUUGGAUGCCAUUCUCAAUUCUUCAUUUCCACUAACCUUAACAGGAUGUGAGACCACAAAAAGCAAGACACAUUAACUAUUCCCAGCACUUCUAGAAAAAUACCCUUACUAUCAGCAUGUUUCCUUCUGUUUUCUGUACCCACUUUGGCCAUACAUCACAGGAAUUAGGACUAAUGGGAAGAAAAUCCCUGCCAGGUUUCCUCAGAGCUCUUCUCCUUUGGCAAUGGUGUUUUUCCCCCAUUCUCUCCACUUUCACACAAACACACCCCACCAUUCCCCAGCCAACAAUGGAGACCGGGGGAUGAGGGGGGAGGGCAAACCCUGCAGACUGUCUGCCUCCACAGACUGUUAUUUUGGAUUUCAUUGACCUUUGAUAGGGCAACUCUUUUUCGGAUCGCUCUCUUGGUUGUAUUCUCCAGGGGAUAUGGCUUUUUACAUUACAAAUUUUGAAAGAUUCUAGGGAAGAAUUUCUGUCUCUCAAAAGCCCUAUAUCUGCUUGAAGUGUUUGGGUUUAUCAGUGACAAUUACAAAACAGAAGCAGUCUGUAUGUGAGGAAAGAUUUCUGUUUGUUGUUUGUAAGCUAUUUUCACUUUGGCUGUAGCUGUCAAGGGGGAUUUCACAGCCAUCCACAUUAUGUCUCACCCCUGUAGCUGAUAUCAGAGCAACCUUAGCUGCUUGAGUAGAAAAAAGAAUCAAGGAGACACAUUAUCUUUUAAAGAAAAGGAACAAAAAAUACUUUUGCAGAACCAACCUAGAGCUCUGCAUCAAAUACCAUCUGUGUUUAAAAAGAAACACAGGGUUGUGAUGUUAAUGAAUUAUUGUUAUUUCCUAGAGGCACAGAUGAAGUGUUUGGUUUUGUGCAAAUCAGAAGUCUCAAACCAGCCCUGUCCCAUUAGCACGGCACAUCAAACACCACAAGCUGAUUUUUGGUUUUUUGGUUCAGCUGAAGGCUGAGGAUUUACACCACUAACAACAGCCACGCAUAUGGUCACAUACAGUCAGGAAAUGAACAACUCUGCAUGAACCGAAGAGAGCGAGGGUGCAAUAAAAACAUAUCCUGCAAAGGGAUCUGUGACGGGAAAUGGGAGGAGAGCUCAGCUUGCAAGAGAAGAACAAAGCCUGUCUCUCUCCAGACUCCACUCUUCAGCAACAUACCACUCAGGAAAGGCCCUGAAAUCCAAAACAUCACUGAGGAGAUGUUUCAGUCUGUGUGAAGGUCAACACCCAGGGUACUGAGAGGGCACCAAGAGGUGCAUCGUGACAAAGAGGCCUGUCCCCCUGCAGAGCCUGGGCCUGGGCUUCAGAAGAUGCUGAUGAAGGCACUGGGUUUGUCCCAUCAUCCAAACACUUACAAUGAGGUGGUAUAUUGCUCCUCAGACAUGGAUGAGAUGCAUACUUCCAUCUGAGAAAUCAAGUCAGAACAGAAUAAGAUGCUUGAAGACUCCUGACAGGAAAAGACAAAAGAAGAUUAGAAACCUUGCAUGCAGCAGCAAAAACAGACUGUGAAUAUUGAAAGCAGGAUCCUGGAUUUUAAAUACAAGCUCAAUUUUCAGGUUUGGAUUUAACCUCUGCAUGUGAGCACAUCUGCCAGAUGAUCCAACCCACUGAUGCUACCUGCCCUCCUAAGCUGAUCUCCCUGGCUGAAGGGUCAGGAGGAGUACUGCCAACCUGGACAGGGUUUCUCAUCUUGAAGCAGAAGAUAGGAAGAGUACAUUCAAGUUAUGAAAUGCAGCAUCAGGGAGAAGAACAGUGCUGGGCCAAAAACCUUGCUUUGCCCCACCACUCAGCAUCGUGCUGCAGCAGGGAGAGGGCAGCAGUCCCUCUGGUACCCCUAUUCUCCAUGCAAAGAGCAGCAGACGGCGGUGAUCAGAUCCAGCCUUGCUGACCUUGCACCAACAUGGAUAUGGAGCAGCCACAUGAGUAGUCAACUUUUGAAUAAAUCACACUGCUCCUGCCACUCACAGUGCUGUCAAGUUACUUGUCAAAAUCAACGUGGUCAGAGUUUCAGCAAAGUGCCUCAGCCGUUUCCUGGAAUGAAACUGGGGGCAGGGGAAGGAGAGGGAAAUGUUGUCAAGGCAACAGUAAUCCCAUUAUUUUCUAACUUCUGAGUGCCUGAGUAGGCAACCUUUAUCUUCUUUCUGUGCCGUUUUUGUACAUAAUAAUAACAGCCACAAUUAUUCUCAUCGGCUUUAAGAAAAGUGAAGCAGGAAUAGCGAAGGGACAGUAAGACAUGCUUUUGCAAACAAAACAAACUAGUGCCGUCGUACUGCUGAUUGCUGGAUAUCCUGCUGCUGUGUUGAAAAAAGGCAUUCAGGGCCCAACUGCUCUGCUUGCAAUGUCCCUCUAAAUUGCCCUCCAUCCGGACAAGAUCAAGAAGCUCAUUUCCUCAUCUUGAAGUGCAACUGACAGCCUCCACACGCUCUGGUAUUGAAAUCGUUGAGCAUAUGUUAGUGUGCAGCAAUCAUUUCCCUCCAGAUUUUACGGCUCAUUGUCAUUUUUCACACAAUAAAAUGUUUUAAUGAGGAGGAAGGCUCUGCUUUAUGUUUUGGGGAAGGUCCCUGGGGAGAGAAUUGUAAUUUCUGCAUGAUGGCGGAGACUUUCAAAUCAUAUUGCAUCAGUUAUGAUUUGCCAGACAAAAUGCGUUUGAAGCAUAAACUAAGCUUACAGCACAUUUGUAAAGCUCACAAAAUAAAAGAAAAACAUAGAAAAAGAAAAACCUACUGGCCUCCCAGCAGUCCUGCUGGCUUUACGUACUUUCCUU